UACAGAGGGGGCAAGCGUUGUUCGGAAUUCCUGGGCGUAGAGGGCGCGUAGGCGGCCGCCUAAGUCAGACGUGAAAUCCCUCGGCUCAACCGGGGAACUGCGUCUGAUACUGGGUGGCUUGAAUCCGGGAGAGGGAUGCGGAAUUCCGGGUGUAGCGGUGGAAUGCGUAGAGAUCCGGAAGAACACCGGUGGCGAAGGCGGCCCGCUGGGCAGGAAGGCUCGCAAGAGCCGGCUGACACUGAGGCGCGACAGCGUGGGGAGCAAACAGG
rnacentral:rRNA from 1 species